rnacentral:lncRNA from 1 species
CUCCGUUCGAUGCAAUUUUUAUACCACUGUGAUCACCGUUCUUUUCUCUACAGGUUGAUCGGAGCCAAACAUCAAAACGCAACUCACGCCGGAGGAGUCGCCGCACCCGAGAGCACCGCCGCCGGUAAGUUUCAGUUUUUCGUGAUUUUUUAGCCCACCGAGAGCCCUAGGGUUGUUUUAUCGCAGGAACCGAUGCAAGUGUGACCGAAUUCGGCUGGAAAUGGCCGAAAACGGCCAACCCGAGGCGAAUCGUCGCCGCAAGCGGCGGAGCCGUCGCCUGAGCACGGCGAAGCCGCCAUGCCGGAAUUGCAAUAUUGGCCGAAAAGGGCCCUAAGUCUGAUUUGAGAUUUUUUAGGAUACGUGUAGGUACCGAUAAUGCGUUUUAGCUUUUUAGAAAAAAU